CAAAACAACAUGUCCGCCCGGAAGCCCAGUGCCGGAAGACUACGGCUCCUGUUUCCGAAACACCACCUGGGAGCGAGCCUGCCAUGGAGCUCGGUGCUGGCACGCUUCCCCUUACCCCGUGACACCUGAAGUCAUCGUCAUGCCAGCGUUCGUCUGUCCGACCAUCUGUCCGUCGGGGAAGGGUCAGCUUCCGCCGCAGCCCCUGAGGCGGCAGGUGUCUGUGUAGCCGACGGCCUGCCCCUUCUGCUUUUUCCUUCGGGGAUAGGAUUCAGCUCUGAGAAUCGGAGAGGACAAUGCCUGAGCUCGCCUGCCUGCCCUUCCGCUCUACCCCAGACCAGAGCCCCGCAGAACGCUCGCACGGCUCUCGGCUCGCCUGCCGCACGUCGCCAGUGUCUGUGUGGUGGGUCUGCACCGUAUCAAACCCAGGCCUCAGCUCAGCGCACAGAGCGGAGCGCUAGCACAGGGGAAGAUGGCAAACGCUGAAGGAGGGCUUGCAGCCCGCUGCUCGGGCUUCAGGGCUUACAGUUUAUUAUUUACGGAUUUUUCCCUCAUCAGGAAGCCCUAAGCCCUGAACCUGGAGUGACGAACUGCACAUCUUGGCACCCAAAUGGUUUCUGAGGCUGUAAAGUCUCGGGAUGAGGUUGCAUUUUCAAUCCUGCACCCUGAUCGCUAAAUGAGGGACCUGUGAACUGUGCCUGAUAAAGACUGAGCCCCACAAAAUAAAGUGAGAAACCACAACCGCGGCGUGAGAGACCCUCAGCAACAAACUACAUAAACCUUAGCUUUAAGCAAGGAACGCCACAGCACCCACAAGCGUGAGAACAGUAAGAAGCGGCCAAAGAGUUUUGCCCACAGCUUAGGAACUUUCCCCUUCAUUUAGAAGGGCAGCAGAACAGGAAGACGUGCACCACAAUCCUGUUACAGUUGCUGUUUAGAGGCUUGGGCUUAGCCGCCCCUAAAGCAUAAGCACGUGCACAAAUCGUGCUGCUGGAUCGCGCCAGGCUGCGCGACCACUGAACGCACCUGAAACGCCGCAAGCGCUAAUUCGUCUCCCCCACAGACCGUUGAUAGUUUUGCUCCUCUCGGCUCCGCGGGCAACCAUCCACGGCCAGUGACGCCCGUAACGGCCAAGGGCAAAACCACUGCCACGUCCCAGCCCUGCUCACACGCAACGCAGCCCCGGGACUUAGCUGCAUCCACAUCGCAAGCCUGGGCUCGCCUUCCGCUCGUCUUCGGCGGCCAGACGCAGAUCUCUGCGGAGAGCUCCCAGUGACGACAACGCUCUUUCGACGACCAGACUACGCUUAGCGCCUGCGAAGAGGCCGGAACAGCUACCGAGAGGCCAGGCAACCGCACGGCCCUCCUAGAGCUACUCCCUAGUCCACAAUUACGACUGACUGUAAGCGACCAAUAACCCCUGUAAGGAAAGAAAGCUCAGAGGAGAUGGAUGCAGGCAAGAUGCCCCUGAAGCUCAGGAAUGGUAUAAGUGCAUAUGUGGCUCAGCCCAACACGCAGUAUAAAGCCUGAACAACCAACAAAGGAAUUUUUGGAGAGAGCGACGGGCUGGAGCUGGCUUCAACCCACGUAUUCCCAGCGAGUGCGGACGUCAUGAGGGUGAAUGUAUUAUAGAGACCAGUAAGAACAAUUACACUUGUACUGUUAUUUCAGUAUAUUACUGUAUCACUCCUCUAAAUCAAAAAUCUCAUGUAACAUCACAUACCUUUAAAUUAAACCACUGCAUUAAACAUUA